rnacentral:rRNA from 1 species
GUCCACGCCGUAAACGAUGAGCACUAGUUAUUGGAGGUAUUGACUCCUCCAGUGACGCAGCUAACGCAUUAAGUGCUCCGCCUGGGGAGUACGGUCGCAAGACUAAAACUCAAACAAAUUGACGGGGGCCCGCACAAGCGGUGGAUUAUGUGGUUUAAUUCGAAGCAACGCGCAGAACCUUACCUAGGCUUGAACUCCUACGAAUCCGGGGUAAUGCCUGGAGUGUCCGCAAGGAAAUGUAGUGAGAGGUGCUGCAUGGCUGUCGU